UGGAUAGUGACCAGAGCGGUCGACAUUGAACAAUUUCUAUCUAUAGCAAAACAUAGUAUCAAUAGAGUAGAGGUGCACUUAGGGUGUUUAUGUACAACCGAGGAUACAAGUCACCAUGAAGUUCUGGACGACAGUGUUUUGUUUUGUGCUCGUCAAUCUGGCUAUGGUUUUAGCGGCCUGCCCCGAAGGAGAAUAUAAUCCAGGGCCAAACUGCGGCCUGGAGCCAUCGUGUUCCACAAGGAGUUCCCAUGCGUAUCCGAAGCAUGCUUGCGACUGUUGGUGCAUACCUGGCACUUAUAGAAGACUGGACACCAAAGCCUGUGUCGAAUUGAGCGGCUGUAAUGAUUAAGAAAUAUAUUUUGUAAGAGAUUG